AAUCGCCCAUUGAGAGGAGCUGUACUGGUAAGCCUAGCAUGAGCACGAGAGGGGAGAUGUCUCCGCCCCGCCGCCGCCGCCGCACCUCGUCGCCGCCUGCCUCUCUGCCAGACGACGAGGACCUGCUCCAGGAGAUUCUCCUCCGCCUCCCGCCGCGGCCUUCCUCCCUCCCCCGGGCCUCCCUCGUCUGCAAGCUUUGGCGCCGCCUCGUCGCCGAACCCCAGUUCCAGCGCCGCUUCCGCGACCACCACCAUGGCAAGCCUCCUCUCCUUGGCUUCUUCCUCCAAGACAACAUCUCCUGCCCGUUUGUUCCAAUGCUGGAUCCACCAGAUCGCAUCCCCGGCGCUCGCUUCUCCAUGCCUCCCCACAAGCGCUACCGCAUCAUCGACUGCCGCCACGGACUUGUCCUUUUCAGCAAUCAACGGCGGUCGCCCCGCCUAUUUGUGUGGGAGCCCGUCGCCCGCGAGAAGCGCCGCCUCAGCUUCCCACCGGAGCUGGACAACGGCGAGAUGUACAUCAUCAACGGGGCGGUGCUUCGCCCUGCCCGCGGCCGUUCAAGCCAUUUCCAGGUGGCCCUGAUAGCCCAAGACAGAGGAAAUACAAGAGUUUCCGGAUGCCUUUUCUCAUCGGACACCGGUGUAUGGAGCAACAUCAAAACACUGCAGCUGGAUUUGACCAGUAGGUGUACGCCACAGCCCAGUACUUUGAUUGGGAAUUCCCUUUGCUGGUUAAUUGCGGUGCAUCAUGACCAUCCUCAGUAUGCCAUACUUGAGUUUGAUCUGGAUACGCAGAGCCUAGCCAUGACAGAGCUGCCACCACACUUAGAAGCCGGCUAUGACCAAUUAAGGAUUAUUACACCCGGGGAAGAUGGUGGCCUUGGCUUCAUCCAUCUCUCACGUUUUCGCGCGCAGAUAUGGAAGAGAAAGCCUGAUUGUGAUGGUUUGGCUGUAUGGGUGAUUGACAGAGCUAUUGAAUUCAAGGAACUUAGAUCAAAUUGCAAGGGCUACUCCCUCACUUUAGUUGGGUUUGCCGAGGAGAGUAAUGCAAUCCUUGUACUUACAGCUUCUGGCGUCUUCAUGGUAUAUCUCCACUCAAUGGAGUUUAAGAAACUUUCCAACUUGUGGGUCUUCUGUCUCCACUAUCCAUUUGCAUCUUUCUAUCCUGCAGGUAAUAGCAAGCCUUUAUAUAAUUUACUUGGCAGCAUGAUAGGAUAUUUUGUUUUAGUAAUUAGUUAGUGAAAUGCCAUCCAUGAGUGUUAUGCUGAUGGUUGAAGUUCAAAUAGUACUUAAGGUCACUGUUCUUUUCUGUUGGUCAAAUGUAGUCUUGUGUGCCUAUCUGAAGUAUAUAUAUCUUUUCAGCACCUGAUGCAUAACAGUUUGAAAUCGACGCAGUUUUUUUUUCACUUGUGGAAGAGCUCUGCUGUGAUUAGCUAGUUUAGAUGUACAACUGGGAAGCAAAUAAUAGGCUGAACCUAUUAUGUUUCUUGUCAGGUUUUUACUUUUAACAUCUCUUAACUUGUUCCUCUUUGUCUGACAACGUAUUUAUAUUACUAAAGAUGAUUUCUUGAAAGGAUCUUUUCUUGUGUGAAUUGUCUUAUGGUAAUACUCCCUCUGUCCCAGAAUAAGUGACUCAACAUUGCACUAACUUUAGUACAAAGUUGAGUCACUUAUUUUGGGACGGAGGGAGUAUUCAGUACUGGACCACAGUUCUCUUGACAAUGUUACACAUAAUAAUAACAGUUAAUAAAGGUAACUCCAUUGGCACUUGUCGAAGCUUAAAGUUAAUUACACUCUUUUAAUUGGAAGCUGGAACCAAUUGAAUAAAUCGAAGUUCUAUUUUAUGUUUUGUUGAAUAUCUUCAUGAGGUGAGGAGUUCGUUUGCAAUUUUGCACCAGCGAAUAAAUAAUUUUCUUUAUGCCUCAUGUUAGUUUUGUCCGAUUGCAUAACUAUGCACCUCUCAGUUCACCAGUUCACCUUGAUAUCCCAUUAUAAAUCUCUCUUCUAUCAACAUUUUUCCAUCAGAAUUAUUGUUGGGUUUCUGACAUUUUAUACUCCUAGAUAUUGGCAUUGGUGAUGGAGAUGGUGCAGGUGAAGUGUUGGACAAAAUGUGAGAUGGUUGUUUGGUGAGACAUGCUAGUAUGAUGUGAUGACUGAAAAGGUAUGGUUAAGUUGCAGGUUGUCCUAUCUGUGUAGUUUUUCGUAUUUUCUGGUGUUGUGGCUAGUGAUGCUCCACUCCAUAUGAAAAUUCAUCCGUUGUAGCAUGUACUCCCUCUGUAAAGAAAUAUAAGAGCGUUUAGAUCACUAAAACUUAUUAAGUAUGAAGUACACACUUGCAGGAACGAAAUUGGUUAUCUUGUUAGCUCUCACUGUUACUCCGGUGACCAACCUCUGUAGACAGUAAGAAUUCAGACAUUUUCAGAGGCUACUUUCUCUGCAUAGCAGCUAGCAGUGAUGGUCAUUUCCAAAUCUUUCUUCUGUAUAAGGUGGUGUUUCCAUUGUAGACUGAACUGGUCAAGGAUGUAAGUAUUGUUUGAUUUGAAUAAAGUGUGCCAUUAUUACUUUAAAAAAGAAGCAUGUACUAUGUGGCAGGGCAAAUUGUUCAAUGUCACAAGAUAUGCCGGCUUUAUUGUUAACUUUCCUUUGA